GUGCUGUGACAAGGCUAAUCAGUCAGCUGAGAACGCUAUGUUAACUCGGUUGUGGGAGAUUUGGGAGAAUCUGCUCAGCCACCACGGUCACCCUUUGAUUUUAAACGUGGGUCAUUUUCGUUAAGGGUUGCUAGCCUGCACACUAGGAUUAGCUUAACCUUCAUGUGACCAAAUAUUUCAAGCUAAAAUAACGGUAGGAUAACUUGUCACCUGUUAGCCUUGAUAAAUUUGAAGGUUGAAUGAACGUUGAUGUUAGCCUGCUGACCAGGUGAUUUUCGCAAACUAACGUUACAUAUCACUAGCAGUUAAAGUUAAACGUCAUCGAUAUUUUUGACGCUACUGUUAAGCGAAUAGUUUAUCGGCGUUAGUACAAAACGUUACCGUUGGUGUAUGUUUCUAACGUUAUGUUACGUUAACGUUACAGUUAUAUGGAGUGACCGUAAAUUGCGGGCUAAGUUAACGUUACUCUUAGCUAUCAAUAAAUUACCCACGUUAUAUAGCUAUGACAACGUCAGCUAACGUUAGUGUAUGACUUGUAGACAGACCCUCUCAUGAUUCAAGUCAUUAAGAAGACAUCAACGACGUGCUGUUGGUAACAGAGCACCUCUCUUCACCAGUCAACGCUACUGUCGGAAUCCUUGUGUAAACGGACGCGCCCACCAAGAUGAACCACAGCGCAGCUCCCAGUUACCCCAUGGCCUCCUUGUACGUCGGGGAUCUCCAUCCUGAUGUGACCGAGGCAAUGCUAUAUGAGAAGUUCAGUCCUGCCGGCCCCAUACUUUCAAUUCGGGUUUGCAGGGAUAUGAUAACACGUCGCUCCCUCGGAUAUGCCUAUGUAAACUUUCAGCAACCGGCAGACGCUGAGCGAGCACUGGACACCAUGAACUUUGAUGUCAUCAAGGGCAGGCCUGUGCGCAUUAUGUGGUCCCAGCGUGACCCUUCCCUCAGAAAGAGUGGUGUUGGAAACAUAUUCAUUAAAAACCUGGACAAGUCCAUCGACAACAAGGCCCUUUAUGAUACAUUUUCGGCUUUCGGAAACAUCCUCUCUUGCAAGGUGGUUUGUGAUGAGAAUGGCUCAAAGGGCUACGGCUUUGUACACUUUGAGACCCAGGAGGCGGCAGAGAGAGCCAUAGAGAAAAUGAACGGCAUGCUGCUUAAUGAUCGCAAAGUGUUCGUGGGGCGUUUCAAGUCCCGCAAGGAACGAGAGGCCGAGCUGGGUGCCCGUGCUAAGGAGUUCACCAACGUCUACAUCAAGAACUUUGGAGAGGACAUGGACGAUGAAAAACUGCGCGAGAUCUUUGGCAAGUUUGGCCCUGCACUGAGCAUCAGGGUGAUGACGGAUGAGAGCGGGAGGUCCAAAGGCUUCGGCUUCGUCAGCUAUGAGAGACACGAGGACGCACAGAGGGCCGUGGAUGAGAUGAAUGGGAAGGAGCUGAACGGUAAGCUGGUGUACGUGGGCCGGGCACAGAAGAAGGUGGAGCGGCAGACGGAGCUCAAGCGCAAAUUUGAGCAGAUGAAGCAUGACCGCAUGACCCGCUACCAGGGUGUGAAUCUCUAUGUGAAGAACCUGGAUGAUGGGUUGGAUGAUGAGCGCCUGCGUAAAGAGUUCUCCCCAUUUGGGACAAUUACCAGUGCCAAGGUCAUGAUGGAGGGCGGCCGCAGCAAAGGCUUUGGCUUUGUGUGCUUCUCCUCGCCAGAGGAGGCCACCAAGGCUGUGACUGAGAUGAACGGGCGCAUCGUGGCCACCAAGCCCCUGUACGUGGCGCUGGCGCAGCGCAAGGAGGAGCGCCAGGCCCACCUCACCAACCAGUACAUGCAGAGGAUGGCCACCGUCCGGGCCGUGCCCAACCCGGUCAUCAACCCCUACCAGCCCGCGCCACCCUCCGGCUACUUCAUGGCCGCCAUCCCCCAGGCCCAGAACCGCGCUGCGUACUACCCCACCAGCCAGCUGGCUCAGCUCAGACCUGGCCCACGCUGGGCCACCCAGGGCAUGCGCCCUCAGCAUUUCCAGAGCAUGCAAGCAAACACCAUGCGGCCGUCCGCACCUCGUCCGCAGACCUUCAGCACUGUGAGACCGGCCUCCCAGGUGCCACGCAUGGUGGCAUCUCAGCGCAUGACCUCUCAGAGUCUUGGCCCACGGCCGGCCAGUGCCACAGCUCCCACUGCUGCACCGGUGCGCGGCGUUCCCCAAUACAAGUAUGCUGCAGGAGUGAGGAACCCACAGCUGGGCUCACAGCCACACUCCGCCAUGCAGCAGCCUGCUGUCCAUGUCCAAGGCCAGGAGCCGCUGACGGCCUCCAUGCUGGCAGCAGCCCCCCCACAGGAGCAGAAGCAGAUGUUGGGAGAGCGCCUGUUCCCACUGAUCCAGAACAUGCACCCCAACCUGGCGGGGAAGAUCACAGGCAUGCUGCUGGAGAUCGACAACUCCGAGCUCCUCCACAUGUUAGAGUCUCCAGAGUCUCUGCGCUCCAAGGUGGAUGAGGCCGUGGCUGUGCUGCAGGCUCACCAGGCUAAAGAGGCCGCUCAGAAGUCCGUUACUGGCCCAGCUGUGCCAGCUGUUUAAUGACGAGAUGUUUUCACAGCUGGCUCGUUUGGAGCAGUUGAAUAGGAAUGUUCGAAGAUCGGUUAGUUUGGGAAUGGGAAUGCUGCAGCUUGCUUCACUGGUUAAAAGAAGUUAUGAAAAAGAAAGAAAAAUAUUAAACAUUGAAAAAAGCUAAAACCCAGAAAACAUUGCAAAAGGAAAAAAAAGCUAAAAAAUGGAAUGAAAAUCAGAAUUGUUUUACCAGGUCUGGGAAGAAAGUGUCUAGACCUUGAUUAUUUACAUAGGAAAAAAAAAGGAGGAAAAAAAAUGAAAAAUUGUUUGAUGUUUGAGAAAUUAUUUUAAAAUGAAAGCCCUGUCUUUUCCCAGUACUGUACGGAUGCACAGAAUAUUAUGUUUGGAACAAAAUCCUACAUGAUAGCUAGGCUCUGGAGAGAUGUCUGGAUUAAGAACUGCUUGCUAUAAUAAAAUCUCACACUGAA